rnacentral:lncRNA from 1 species
UUCAGAUUGACUCAUAGGUAAUCGCAGGAGCUAUUUUUUGACACAACAUUAUUAAUUUGUAGUUCGUUUUUUUGGCGCCGUUAAAUUUCGGACCUAUGUUUGACAGUUUGUAUUUUUCAAAUUUUAUUGUAAAUAUACAAUAUCAUAUGUCAUUCAUAAAAUAAAUAAACAACUUGUUUGGGUCCAAAUUAAAUUAUUUAUUUGAUAUAUAUGCGCAUGUAUUAUCUAAUUUACCCUAUAGUGAUUGUGGGGAUGUACCUGAAAUAAACAGGAAUCCCACAAGCCACAACUGCUAUCACGCCCUGAGUUUUACCCUAGCUAAACCUCAUUGAAAUAAUGUAUUAAAAAUAAUUUGUUAGUUAAAGUUCAGGAGAAAACCCAGUGUAAUAAAUUAAUUAAUUUAAUUCGAAACUUUUUGGAUAUUCUAAAAUAUCCCAAAAGCAUUUUAAAUUAUUAACCAGAUUUAUAUUUGAAUUGCAGUCAGUAAAAUUUGCUUAAAUAAACUUAAUAAAAAUCGGCAAAAUUGAAGGCAAUUUUUUUCCUCCUUUUUUCUUUCCUUUUUCCCUUUUCUUUUUCUUUUUUCCUUUUUUUCCCACCUUGGCCGAACCCCUUCUCCUGUGCGAUCUCCCCUUUUUUCCCUGUUGGUCAGCACGUACUCCCCCUACCCCCAUGCAGUGCCGCACGCGCAUCUUGCCCCCUGCCAACCGUGAGCCCCCGCCUCCUCUCUCACGGUAAAAUCAAUUCCAAAUAAAUAGGACUCUAAUUUUUAUCUUUUUAAAAUAUUAUCUAUUUAUUUUUAAUAAGAGAGAAAUAACUAGAUUUAUCACUAGUUUUCUCCUAUAAAUAGACCCCCCAAGCCCCCACCUUUUCCCGUCCCUUUUUCAGCCACACUGCGCCCACGCCGUCGCUCUGCUUCGCAAGCACCGCCUCCUGUCCAGCAGCUGUGUAGCAAGCCACAGCAGCCCUGCAGCUCCCUAUUCGCAGUAGCCGUUCGCCGAAUCUCUCUACCAAAUUUUAGGUUCGCAUAUAUUUUAUACCUACAAAUCAAUCUAAAUUUAUCUACCGUUUAAUUGUUUAGGUUAUCUAGCCGAACAGCGAGGAACAGCAGCAAUCUGUCGCUGACCUCUCCACCAAAUCUCAGGUUCACAUAUGUUUUACUCAUGUGAAUCAAUCUAUCUUUAAUCUACCAUGUAAUUGCUCAGAUUUUCUAAUCUAAUUAGCUAGCGUGAGAUUAAUCUACAGUGCGAAGUCUAAUUUUGUACGUAGAUUGGUUUUACGUUAAAGUCGUUUAUUUUUAUGUUUAGCGAGUCGUUAAAUCUUAAUUUAACGGGUCGUUACCCCCUGUCGUGCUUCCGCUAACCGUUCCCAGUUUCGUGUUUCGGAUCUAAUUCGUCGUGCGAAUCUUUGAUUCGUGCACGUUUUGGUUCUGUUAUGCAAAUACGCUAUUUGUUCGUGAAUUCCUGAGCCGCAACCACCAACGCGCGCAAAGUUCCCAUCGCCUCCCUCCUUUCCCUCCAAAGGGCCAGACCGUCGCGCCGCCCCACUCAGAU